CCUGGCCUGGAAGCCCCUGCGCAGGCCAGACCUGCAGGCCAUGGACCCCAGCAGGAACCGAAGUCUCACCCCAAGCCUUCGUACACAAGGAGCAGCCCAGGUGAGGGAUGGCGGACGCACCUGUGGCUCUACUGGCGCAAGAAGGGAGCCGUGGUCCAAGAAGCUGACAGAGAGGAAGCAGUGCAUUGGUGAAGGCAACGUUAGGUGUGAUUUCCAUUCCUGCUGGGAGACCCAGGUCACAGCCCGGGAGCUUCGUCCAGCCUGUGGAUGGAGCCUGACUGCCUGAAGAUGGAACUUCUGUGUCCUCCCACCCUUGGUGGUCUAAGGUUAUUGCUCUCAGAGCUGAAUUGACAGGAGGUGUGUGUGUGCACACUCACUUGUGUGCACAUGCCUGCGUUUAUGCGUGUUUUCACUCAACCAGAAGAGCAAUUCAUGGGAUUUAGCCGUUUUGAGGCACCUAGAAGUUGAGGCAGUUAGAUGUGCAGCCAGGUGUGAAUGUAACGUGCACCAUUGUAUAAAGGAGGUGACUCAGUUGCUGCAGGGAGGAUUGGGUUGUCUGGAAGUAUUAGGUUCAUUUUAUAUUUGUGUCAGAAGAAAUGUCUGACUUUGGGGCAGAUGACAUAGUGGCCGCGGCCCAGGCAUGGUUCCCUAGGUUGAAAUCAGGGAAAAGCUAAUACUCUCAGACAGGUAUGCGUUUUCUUUGGUGGCUGCAGGGUUUCUGCUAGAAAAUGCACUAUUAAUCAGCACUUGUCCAAGAAAGACCCAUCCGUUUCUGUUGUCAUUCAAGCCACAGUUCCUGAUUUACUCAGACAAGAUACUGGGCCAGUUCAAUGUCUCUAGCUGAGCCUGACCUUGGGGUUUGCGUCUCAAGUCUGAAAUCUUUUUCAGUCCUCUGUGCAUAGUUUUGUCUCAUUUUAAUGACUGCAUCUUCUUGGUACAUUUAUUAUACUCAGAACUGAAUGGCACACAAUAGCCUUGUGUUAAUAAAAGCUACCGUAGCGCUAUGGGUGAACCGCUGAGUUGAAGUCCAAUGGACUCUACGAUGCAGGUAUCCAGAAAUACGUUGUAACUCUACCUGCCUCCCUGCCAGCCUGGCUCCUCCUCUGGGGGAGCUCCUGGCAUGGUCCUAGUGUUGUCCUGCAUGGGAACAACAGCUGCAUGGGCCAGCUGUUUUGGAUCUAAAGAUGUGCAGUGAAACUCAGAUUCACAUCCCUCAUGUUUAUUUGGGUCAUCAUGGUUUUGCAUGUUGUAUAUAUGUCUGGAGCACUUCAUACACCUCUAUCCACCACAGGCACUCUUAAUCACAGUCUGUAAUAGUAAUAAGGCAAACUAUACAGCAAAGAGAAGCAUGUAAAUAUGUACCAAUUCUUAUGAAGUUGUAAUUGUUUAUAUGUAAAAAGUAUGUAUAUACGAAAGGGAGAAGGUACAAGGAACGUGCUGAAUAACAUGCAAACUGCAUUGCAUCCCUGUCCCAUUCCUGAAAGCUCACAUCUAGUUGGAGCGUCAGUUCCUCUCCUCAGAUAUCAUUGUUCUCACUCUUCUAUCAUAGGCACCUUCUUUACAUCUGAUUACAAUAUCCAGCAUUUCAGAACUGGGUUUUUGCCCCCAAAAAGGUAAAUAUGAACAUUUAUCACUGACUCCUCCUGGUCCAGUGAGCAGCAACAGAAUUCAAGUAUUUAAAAAUAAGGUGCAUUUCUAAAUUGUAGGCUAUACUUUCUUUUUCCAAACCAAUGGGCUAGAGUGAAUUUCCUCCGAGUACUUGGGCUGUCUUACUGCUAGCUUUUCUAACAGGGGAAGUCUGUAUAAAUGCAUCAUCCGCUAAUAACGCAAGAGGAAGGACCCUGAAAUGUGGCCAGAAAUGCUUACUGUGUAACCAGGACAUCAACAUUUACAUCAUAUUGUAUUAACAUCAUCACACUCUGUGCUCAACACACAGAACAACAUAGAUACUUCAGUUUGUCUAAAGUAAAAAUCCACGUAAAUCGCAGAUUUCUUUGUUGACACCAGUGUGUUGUUUACCUUGUGCCCACGGUCCAGAUUUUGAGCUGGAGAAGGACUAUGGCUGUUCCUUAAAGUCUCUGCCCUGGCAGAAUCUGUAGCCUUCAGGAUACCCCGAGUGCCUUACAGGGCUUGUGAACACCGACCAAAAGUCAAAAAGAAGAGAGUGCCCAAGCGUGGGUUUGGAGGCACUGAUGCAUUCGCCAACACUCACUGUCAUCCCAUCCUUGAAACCCUGAGAGGGAGUAUGUGUUUUAACACAGAGUGGAAUUUAAGUUUAGGCUCAGGAAACUCAUAUUCUGAAUAUAGGUAUCAAAUCAUAUAUUUGUUUACUGUAUAUUUUUUAAAAAGCUUUAUUGUAAAUUUAUGCAAAAACUAACCGGCCCGUUUUCUUAUGGCAGCAUGCCGAGCAGUGUGUGUGUCCUCCCAGGCACUCCCUUCAUAGUCACCCUCUAACCACGUGACAUUCUGUUCAGUGCUAAUCCGUAUUCACAGGCCUAACGUAGGUUUGUAUGGUGAUCUACGAGAUUUUACACAUAUUUUUGUAUUGUGAUUCCUAUGAUAUAUACCAGAGAAUUUUUACUCAUUUGUAAAUUAUUGUACAGUUUUAAUAAAAAAUGUUUUAAAUCUUAGACG
rnacentral:lncRNA from 1 species